rnacentral:misc_RNA from 1 species
GCCGUGGAGGCUACACACGUCUCUCUCUCUCUCACAAGACUACUGCUAGCAGUUGAAAAACCCAAAUCUCUCAACCGCUAAACCCUGGCAUAUCCACACCAACAACAUGAGCGUCGAGCCCUUCAAUCGGUUGGUGAAACUUGCUGCUCGAGCUUUUUACGACGACAUAACCACAAAAGGCGAUAAUCAACCGAAAACGGGGAGGAGCGAUAACAGAGGAAUUGCUGUGGUGGUGCUUGACGCUCUUACUAGACGGCAAUGGGUUAGGGAAGAAGAUUUGGCAAAGGAUUUGAAAUUGCACUCAAAACAACUUCGUCGAACCCUGCGGUUUUUUGAGGAAGAAAAACUAGUUACCCGAGAUCAUAGGAAAGAGACGGCUAAGGGAGCGAAGAUAUAUAGUGCUGCUGUCGCUGCCACCGCUGAAGGUCAACGGACUGCAAAAGAGGGGGAGGAAAAGAUAAAACUACACACUCACUCUUACUGUUGUCUGGAUUAUGCACAGAUAUAUGAUGUUGUUAGGUACAGACUGCACCGCUUGAGGAAAAAGCUAAAGGAUGAACUGGAAAACAAAAAUACUGUUCAAGAGUAUAUAUGCCCUAACUGUGGGAGAAGGUACAAUGCCUUGGAUGCACUACGAUUGGUUUCUCCAGAUGAUGAAUACUUCCACUGUGAGAAUUGCAAUGGGGAACUUGUGGCAGAGAGUGACAAGUUAGCUGCUCAAGAAGGAGGAGAUGGAGAUGACAAUGCAAGGAGGCGACGGCGUGAAAAAUUGAAGGACAUGCUUCAAAAAAUGGAGGU